rnacentral:lncRNA from 1 species
GCCAAGAUGGCCGAAUAGGAACAGCUCCGGUCUACAGCUCCCAGCGUGAGCGACGCAGAAGACGGGUGAUUUCUGCAUUUCCAUCUGAGUCACAUCCUGCUCAUUUUGACAAACGCAGAGUCAUGUACCCAUCACUACAAUCAAGUUACAGACCAUCUCCAUAACUCCAAAGAAUUCCCACACACUCCAUUGUAGCCCCACGGACAACCACCAGUCUGUGUUCUCUUCUGGUAGUUUUGCCUUUUUGAGACAGUCACAUAAAAUGGAACCACUUAGUAUAUAGCAUUUUGAGUUUGGUUGUUUUCACUUAACAUAAUAUAUUAAAGAUUUAUCCAUGUUGUUGCAUGUAUCAGUGGCUUAUUUCUUUUUCUUGCUAAAUAGUAUUACUUUGUAAGGAUGUAUACAAAUUGUUUAUCCAUUUACUUGCUGAUGAACAUACAGACUGUUUUCAGUUUUUGACAAUUCC